rfam:Myotis lucifugus cont2.27972, whole genome shotgun sequence.
GGAGUUUCUCGGGUGAUGCACCCUGGAACCAGGCUCCCUCCUCUCUGGUUACAGGUGUGUCACCCGAGAACCGCA